CCCCGGCCACCACCUACGGUCGCCUGCCCCGCUCCACCCCGUCCGGCCGGCGCGCCUCCUCUACUCCACCCACGGUGCCACCCAUCCCCUGACCCGCCACUAGAUGAGAUCUGGCCUGCCCGACGCGUCCAGCAAGCCGAUGGUUGCCGCUCCCCCGGAUCUGCAGGGGAUGUGCGUGAGGAGCGUUACACCAGCCUCCCCAACCUCUUUCAUCCACGGGAUCCGGUCCUGCCUCCUCGGCCCUUCUCCGACUCCGUUUCGUGGCCAUAGUGCACACCAGAGUCCCCCCGAUCUGGCUUCCUCUGGUACCUCCAGCUCGGCCCAGGACGGCAUGCGGCUCGACUGAUGGCGGCUUGCAGUACGCCGACGCCCUUUGUGCUCGCCACCGAUGCCCUCUGUUCUCUCCACCGACAUCUCCUUCAUCCUCCAUAGGUCUGGGCACUCCCGCUACCCUCGCAUCCAGCGCAGGUGGGGACGAGCCCCGGCCACCAUGCUCCCCUAUCCUCUGACCUCUCUCUCCAAUGUCUUGUGCUGGAUGCCUAUCAACUGUGGCGUCCGGCUCUGGUGUAGUCAACAUCGCCGAUGAACGGUGUGCUCCCCAUUCCUCCUCUCCGGUAUGAGAAAUUCAAGGUCGUCACUGCAGCAGUCUGCUUGCCACCUCUCUCAUGAACCAUUGCAUCCUUGCCAAGCAGUUCGCUAUGUUUCUUUCUUUAGUUAUUUGUGUAUGAAAAAUGCUAACUUUUCGUUAGUAGUUUGACCUUUUGUGUUUAGAUUUUUGCUGUGCGCCUGGAUGUGAAGUGCAGUGCACCCGGAUCCCGCGAGCAGUGCGCCGUGCGCCCUGGUGUGGUUGAUCCACGGCCACCGCCGAAACAAAAUGUGAUUUGUGCACCUUGUUGACACUUUUCUCGUAAUUUUAGUGUGCAAGUUGCGUGCGUGCCGAGUCGAGGUGAAUGUGUUGUGUUGGCUGAGAUGUAGUACGGUUGGCAAUGAGAUUUGUCGUGCGCUUCACUGAUUUUGUGUGUUCCUAAAGAAAAAAUCAAAGUGCAAUGUAGUCUGUUGUUAU
rnacentral:rRNA from 1 species